UGGGGAAUAUUGCACAAUGGGCGCAAGCCUGAUGCAGCCAUGCCGCGUGUAUGAAGAAGGCCUUCGGGUUGUAAAGUACUUUCAGCGGGGAGGAAGGGAGUAAAGUUAAUACCUUUGCUCAUUGACGUUACCCGCAGAAGAAGCACCGGCUAACUCCGUGCCAGCAGCCGCGGUAAUACGGAGGGUGCAAGCGUUAAUCGGAAUUACUGGGCGUAAAGCGCACGCAGGCGGUUUGUUAAGUCAGAUGUGAAAUCCUCGGGCUCAACCUGGGAACUGCAUCUGAUACUGGCAAGCUUGAGUCUCGUAGAGGGGGGUAGAAUUCCAGGUGUAGCGGUGAAAUGCGUAGCGAUCUGGAGGAAUACCGGUGGCGAAGGCGGCCCCCUGGACGAAGACUGACGCUCAGGUGCGAAAGCGUGGGGAGCAAACAGG
rnacentral:rRNA from 1 species